rnacentral:rRNA from 1 species
AUUGAACGCUGGCGGCAUGCCUUACACAUGCAAGUCGAACGGCAGCACGGGAGCAAUCCUGGUGGCGAGUGGCGAACGGGUGAGUAAUAUAUCGGAACGUGCCCAGUCGUGGGGGAUAACGUAGCGAAAGCUACGCUAAUACCGCAUACGAUCUAUGGAUGAAAGCGGGGGGAUCGCAAGACCUCGCGCGAUUGGAGCGGCCGAUAUCAGAUUAGGUAGUUGGUGAGGUAAAGGCUCGCCAAGCCGACGAUCUGUAGCUGGUCUGAGAGGAGACCAGCCACACUGGGACUGAGACACGGCCCAGACUCCUACGGGAGGCAGCAGUGGGGAAUUUUUGGACAAUAGGGCGCAAGCCUGAUCCAGCAAUGCCGCGUGCAGGAUGAAGGCCUCGGUUGU